rnacentral:lncRNA from 1 species
UUUCACUUCAGAACACAUUUUAUAUACAAUUUCACUAACUACAAAAUUUAUCAGGAAUGUGGUCGACUGAAGCAGUUGAUUGAAAAGGAAGUAACCAAGCUCCAAGCGGAGAACAAGGGGUUGAAAGAGGAGCUUAUGUCGAUGAAGUCAGAACUCUCUAAGAUGAAUGUAAACAUGCGUCAAUCAAACAAUUCUUUGAAGCUCAAUGAGAUCAUUCAGAGUCACAAUGUGUUGAAAGAUAGCUUGAGUGACAUCAGGUUGUCUCUUAAAAAUUUUGUUGAAUCUGUUUCUGACAUU